GACGAACGCUGGCGGCGUGCUUAACACAUGCAAGUCGAACGGACAGGCCAUGCUUUUGUGGCGUGCUCGUUAGGCGAACAGGGGAGUGAAACGCGUGUAAAAUCCCCUUAACUUUGGGAUAUAUUCAGGAAACUCGGGCUAUUACCGGGUAUAAGCUACUGAUGCGUAGGGGGGGAUGGUAAGUUUCGGCGGUUGGGGCUGGAAUCGCGGCUUAUCCGCUUGUUGGGGGGGUUGUGGCUUACAAAGGCUAUGACUGGUAGCCGGCCUGGGAGGGUGACCGGCGACAUUGGUACUGAGAUACGGCGCAGACUCCUACGGGACGCAGCAGUGGGGAAUAUUGCACAGUGGGCCGACGUCUGAUGCAGCGACGCCGCGUGCGUGAUGACGGCCUUCGGGUUGUAAACCGCUUUCGCCUGUGCUGAAGCCUUAGUGACGGUAAUGGGUAAAGAAGCACCGGCUAACUACGUG
rnacentral:rRNA from 1 species